rnacentral:lncRNA from 1 species
UUGUUUUGAAUAAUUAAUAUAUCAUGUGAAGGUUGCAAAAGCCCUUAGAUUAUUUGAUUUUGACUCACUCUCGAGACUGACAGUCUCAGUUGUAAUUUUUUUCAGGUGACAGUUAAAGACUUUCGCCUUCGCACAUUCGACAGUCCGACUUCUUCUUUUUCGGACUUUUGUAAUUAUCUUGUACUUGUAUACUUGUCAUUUUUACUCUAGAGUAUCCGCAG